rnacentral:rRNA from 1 species
AUUGAACGCUGGCGGCGUGCCUAACACAUGCAAGUCGAGCGGCAGCGCGGGAGCAAUCCUGGCGGCGAGCGGCGGACGGGUGAGUAACGCUUGGGAAUCUGCCUGUUAGUGGGGGACAACCCGGGAAACGUCGGGCUAAUACCGCAUACGCGCUACGGUGGAAAGACCGGGGACCGGCAAGGCCUGGCGCUAACAGAUGAGCCCAAGUCGGAUUAGCUAGUUGGUAGGGUAACGGCCACCAAGGCGACGAUCCGUAACUGGUCUGAGAGGACGACCAGUCACACCGGAACUGAGACACGGUCCGGACUCCUACGGGAGGCAGCAGUGGGGAAUAUUGGACAAUGGGGGAAACCCGUGAUCCAGCGACGCCGCGUGGGUGAAGAAAGGCCUGCGGGUUGUAAAGCCCUUUCAGUGGGGAAGAAAAGCCUCGACCUAACACGUCGGGGUCUUGACGUAACCCAUAGAAGAAGCNCCGCUAACUCUGUGCCAGCCGCCCGCUGUAAU